AUUGUGUUAUCUGAGAGUGCCAGAAUUUUUACUUGUUCAAAAAUUUUAGCUAUUAAUUUAAGCUCACCUGGCCCGAAGGGCCAAGUGAGCUUUUCUCAUCACUUGGUGUCCGUCGUCGUCGUCGUCAAUGUCCGUCGUCGUUAGCUUUUACAAAAAUCUUCUCCUCUCAAACCACUGGGCCAAAUUUAUCCAAACUUGGCCACAAUCAUCAUUAGGGUAUCUAGUUUAAAGAAUGUGUCCGAUGACCCCGCCAACCAACCAAAAUGGCCGCCAUGGCUAAAAAUAGAACAUAGGAGUAAAAUGUAGAUUUUGGCUUACAUCUCUGAAACCAAAGCAUUUAGAGAAAAUCUGACAUAUGGUAAAACUGAUUAUCAGGUCAAGAUCUAUCUGCCCUGAAAUUUUCAGACAAAUCUGACAACCCGUUGUUGGGUUGCUGCCCCUGAAUCGGUAAUUUUAAGGAAAUUUUGCAGUUUUUAUACGACCGCAAAAAUUAAAAAUUUUUUGGUCGUAUAUUGGUAUGACGUUGGCGUCGUCGUCGUCGUCGUCGUCGUCGUCGUCGUCGUCUGGCGUCGUCCGGCAUCGUCCGAAGACACAUUGGUUUUCGCACUCUAACUUUAGUUUAAGUGAAUGGAUCUCCAUGAAAUUUUACCAUAAGGUUCAAUACCACGAAAGGACGGUGGGGAUUGAUUUUGGGGGUUAUGGUACCAACAGUUAAGGAAUUAGGGGCCAAAAAGGGGCCAAAAAUAAGCAUUUUUGUAACUUCCAGACAAUAACUUGUGUGUAAGUGUAUGGAUCUCUCUGACAUUGUACCACAAGGUUCCAUAUCACAAAGGGAAGGCUGUAAUUGAUUUUGGGGGUAAUUGCCUCAAAAUUUUAGGAAUUAGGGGCCAAAAAAGGGGCAAAAAACAAGCAUUUUUCUAGUUUCAUGACAAUAACUUGUGUGUAAGUGUUUGGAUAUUUCUGAAAUUGUACUACAAGGUUCCAUAUCACAAAGGGAAAGCUGGAAUUGAGUUUGAGGGUAAUUGCCCGAAACGUUUAGGAAUUGGGGGCCAAAAAGGGGCCAAAAAUAAGCAUUUUUCUAGUUUCCAGACAAUAACUUGUGUUCAAGUGUAUGGAUCUCUCUGAAAUUGUACUGCAAGGUACCAUACCACAAAGGGAAGGCUGGGAUUGAGUUUGGGGGUGAUGAAUCAUAAGGGGGUUCAAAAAAUUUGGGGGGGGGGAUUUUUUUUUUUCUUUUUUUUUCUUUUUUUCCUUUUUUUUUUCUUUUAAAAUUUUCCAUUUUAAGUUGGUUAUUUCUGAUUAAUAUUUAAAAGCAAAUAAUAAUGAUAUGGUAGGAGAUACACACCAAACAGGAUGUGUAAAUUAUUAUAUAAUAAGUAUUGUGCAAUAGCAAGAAAUUUUCAAUUGCACAGUAUUGCACAAUUGCAAGAAAUCUUCAAUUGCACAGUAUUGCGCAAUAGCAAGAAAUCUUCAAUUGCACAGUAUUGCGCAAUAGCAAGAAAUAUCCAAUAGCACAAUAUUGCGCAAUAGCAAGAAA